rnacentral:rRNA from 1 species
UACAGAGGGUGCAAGCGUUGUUCGGAAUUAUUGGGCGUAAAGCGCGUGUAGGCGGCUUUGCAAGUCGGGUGUGAAAGCCCUCAGCUCAACUGAGGAAGUGCGCCCGAAACUGCAGAGCUUGAGUGCCGGAGAGGGUGGCGGAAUUCCCCAAGUAGAGGUGAAAUUCGUAGAUAUCUGGAGGAACACCGGUGGCGAAGGCGGCAUCCGUGGACCGCAUUGACGGCUGAGGAGCGAAAGC